GCUACGCAUAUUACGCACUGCAUUGUUUGGUAAACACGCAGAUUCAGCUGUUUAUAUAUCAAUCAGUAUGGCAACUAAGUCAGGGAAAGCUAAAUUGAAGUCUAGAUAUACAGGUGUACACACAAUCUUAGAAGAAAUUGAUCGGAAAAGUGAAUGUGUUGUAGGACGAUUCAUUUAGCGAUUCCCAAAUGGAGGAAUAUUUUUUGAAAUUAUUCUCAUGCUAAUCCCAGGUCCCCCCUGCUUUUGUGUGGGCUUAUACUUUCUGUCAGUGGUGUAUUAUUGUUUUGCUCUUACGUGUUUGCUGUCCGUUAUUUUCCCUGGUUGGGGGACUUAUCGGUUUAUUGGUCAUUUUGCCUGGUUGUUGGCUGGACCCAGCUGAAUAAAACGUAUUCAUUGGAAGCACUGUUCUCUGCGCCUGACUCCACACCCACCACUCCUAGCAAUCCGUGACAAAAGUCUCCUCCUCUUGUCCAAUCAGGGCCAGAUCUUUGUGUCUUUCAACAUGGCGGCUCUGUGGAAGCUGCCGUGUAUCUUCAUCUGUAACAACAACAAGUUCGGCAUGGGGACGUCUGUAGAGAGGUCCUCUGCUAGCACUGAGGACUUCAAGAAAAUAGACUAUAUUCCUGGCCUCAAGCCCUAGGACCAUGCCUCAGGACUACUUGGCCUGAUGACUCCUUGCUGUCUCCAGUCCACCUGGUCGUGCUGCUACUCCAGUUUCAACUGUUCCGCCUGUGGCUAUGGAACCCUGACCUGUUCACCGGACGUGCUACCUGUCCCAGACCUGCUGUUUUCAACUCUCUAGAGACAGCAGGAGCGGUAGAGAUACUCUUAAUGAACAGCUAUGAAAAGCCAACUGACAUUUACUCCUGAGGUGCUGACUUGCUGCACCCUCAACAACUACUGUGAUUAUUAUUAUUAUUAUUUGACCAUGCUGGUCAUUUAUGAACAUUUGAACAUCUUGGCCAUGUUCUGUUAUAAUCUACACCUGGCACAUCCAGAUGAGGACUGGUCACCCCUCAUAGCCAGGUUCCUCUCUAGGCUUCUUCCUAGGUUUUGGCCUUUCUAGGGAGUUUUUCCUAGCCACCGUGCUUCUACACCUGCAUUGCUUGCUGUUUGGGGUUUUAGGCCGGGUUUCUGUACAGCACUUUGAGAUAUCAGCUGAUGUGAGAAGGGCUAUAUAAAUACAUUUGAUUUGAGUUAUCCAGAAAACAUGACCCAUGUAUUCAUGACCCAUGUACAGUGGUUCAAAGAGCAACUUUUGCAUAGAUAAUUAUGCAACCACUUUUGUUAUCCAGCAAUGUUGAUUCAAUGAUGCACAUGUUUAUAUUCAAAACAAAGAAGUUGUAAUUAAUCAAAGUCUUAUUGUCUCAUUUAAUGUAUUGACUGUACAUUUUAUAUAACAACAUGUUUCCUAAGUUGUAGAUGACUAUGUUGGUUACUAUGCUGUACCACAGCGCCGAUGUCAAGUCUUCCGCAAAAGUUGGUCUCUCUCCUUGUUCGGGCAGUGUUCGGCGGUUGACGUCACCAACCAUUUAGCCAUCAUUGAUCAAUUUUUCAUUUUCCAUUGGUUUUAUCUUGUCUGUCUACACACCUGGUUCCAAUCCCAUCAAUUACAUGUUGUGUAUUUAACCCUCUGUUUCCCCUCAUGUCCUUGUCAGAGAUUGUUUGGUGUAUGUAGGUGUUUAUUGUUAAUUCUGGUGUGCGAUGGGUUUUGUACCCCCUAUUUGUUAUUUUGUUACUUUGGUUUUCGGAGGUUUUGAUGUUUAUUAAACAGCUCCAUUUUUAACAAA
ensembl:lncRNA